AUUGAACGCUGGCGGCAGGCCUAACACAUGCAAGUCGAACGAGUGGCGGACGGGUGAGUAAUGUCUGGGAAACUGCCUGAUGGAGGGGGAUAACUACUGGAAACGGUAGCUAAUACCGCCUACCAUCGGAUGUGCCCAGCUGGGAUUAGCUGGUAGGGGGGGUAAAGGCUCACCUAGGCGACGCGCCCUAGCUGGUCUGAGAGGAUGAACGGCCACACUGGGACUGAGACACGGCCCAGACUCCUACGGGAGGCAGCAGUGGGGAAUAGUGCGCAAUGGGGGCAACCCUGACGCAGCCAUGCCGCGUGAAUGAAGAAGGCCUUGGGGUUGUAAAGUUCUUUCGGUAGCGAGGCGUUAACUACAGAAGAAGCACCGGCUAACUCCGUGUCAGCAGCCGCGGUAAUUC
rnacentral:rRNA from 1 species